rnacentral:rRNA from 1 species
CAAAGGAGGCGAGUCCGGAGACGGAUGGGCAUGCGUGACAUUAGCUUGUUGGCGGGGUAACGGCCCACCAAGGCGACGAUGUCUAGGGGUUCUGAGAGGAAGGUCCCCCACACUGGUACUGAGACACGGACCAGACUCCUACGGGAGGCAGCAGUGAGGAAUAUUGGUCAAUGGGCGAGAGCCUGAACCAGCCAAGUCGCGUGAAGGAUGACGGCCCUACGGGUUGUAAACUUCUUUUGUCAGGGAGCAAUUGGGUCCACGCGUGGGCUUAGCGAGAGUACCUGAAGAAAAAGCAUCGGCUAACUCCGUGCCAGCAGCCGCGGUAAUACGGAGGAUGCGAGCGUUAUCCGGAUUUAUUGGGUUUAAAGGGUGCGUAGGCGGAAUAUCAAGUCAGCGGUAAAAAUUCGGGGCUCAACCCCGUCGUGCCGUUGAAACUGAUGUUCUUGAGUGGGCGAGAAGUAUGCGGAAUGCGUGGUGUAGCGGUGAAAUGCAUAGAUAUCACGCAGAACUCCGAUUGCGAAGGCAGCAUGCCGGCGCCCAACUGACGCUGAAGCACGAAAGCGUGGGUAUCGAACAGGAUUAGAUACCCUGGUAGUCCACGCAGUAAACGAUGAAUGCUAAUUGUCCGGAGGGAUUGACCUCUGG